CCUACGGGUGGCAGCAGUGGGGAAUUUUGGGCAAUGGCCGAAAGGCUGACCCAGCAACGCCGCGUGAGGGAUGAAAUCUUUCGGGAUGUAAACCUCGAAGUGGAAAACACGGUACCUGACGUAAGCCCCGGCUAACUCCGUGCCAGCAGCCGCGGUAAUACGGGGGGGGCAAGCGUUGUUCGGAAUUACUGGGCGUAAAGGGCGCGUAGGCGGCCAAUCAAGUCGAGUGUGAAAUUGCAGGGCUUAACUUUGCAGGGUCGCUCGAUACUGGUAGGCUAGAGUGUGGAAGAGGGUGCUGGAAUUCCCGGUGUAGCGGUGAAAUGCGUAGAUAUCGGGAGGAACCAGGGCGAAGGCGGGCACCUGGCCACACUGACGCUGAGGCGCGAAAGCUAGGGGAGCAAACAGGAUUAGAUACCCUUGUAGUC
rnacentral:rRNA from 1 species